AGAGUUUGAUCAUGGCUCAGAGCGAACGCUGGCGGCAGGCUUAACACAUGCAAGUCGAGCGGGCGUAGCAAUACGUCAGCGGCAGACGGGUGAGUAACGCGUGGGAACAUACCUUUUGGUUCGGAACAACACAGGGAAACUUGUGCUAAUACCGGAUAAGCCCUUACGGGGAAAGAUUUAUCGCCGAAAGAUUGGCCCGCGUCUGAUUAGCUAGUUGGUGAGGUAACGGCUCACCAAGGCGACGAUCAGUAGCUGGUCUGAGAGGAUGAUCAGCCACAUUGGGACUGAGACACGGCCCAAACUCCUACGGGAGGCAGCAGUGGGGAAUAUUGGACAAUGGGCGCAAGCCUGAUCCAGCCAUGCCGCGUGAGUGAUGAAGGCCCUAGGGUUGUAAAGCUCUUUUGUGCGGGAAGAUAAUGACGGUACCGCAAGAAUAAGCCCCGGCUAACUUCGUGCCAGCAGCCGCGGUAAUACGAAGGGGGCUAGCGUUGCUCGGAAUCACUGGGCGUAAAGGGUGCGUAGGCGGGUUUUUAAGUCAGAGGUGAAAUCCUGGAGCUCAACUCCAGAACUGCCUUUGAUACUGAAGAUCUUGAGUUCGGGAGAGGUGAGUGGAACUGCGAGUGUAGAGGUGAAAUUCGUAGAUAUUCGCAAGAACACCAGUGGCGAAGGCGGCUCACUGGCCCGAUACUGACGCUGAGGCACGAAAGCGUGGGGAGCAAACAGGAUUAGAUACCCUGGUAGUCCACGCCGUAAACGAUGAAUGCCAGCCGUUAGUGGGUUUACUCACUAGUGGCGCAGCUAACGCUUUAAGCAUUCCGCCUGGGGAGUACGGUCGCAAGAUUAAAACUCAAAGGAAUUGACGG
rnacentral:rRNA from 1 species